CGGCAACAGCUCAAAUUUGAAAUCUGGCGCAAGCCCGAGUUGUAAUUUGUAGAGGAUGUUUCUGGCGACGUGCCUUCCGAGUUCCCUGGAACAGGACGUCAUAGAGGGUGAGAAUCCCGUAUGUGAUCGGUCGCCUUCGCCCGUGUAAAGCUCGUUCGAC
rnacentral:rRNA from 1 species